UACAGAGGUCCCAAGCGUUGUUCGGAUUCAUUGGGCGUAAAGGGUGCGUAGGCGGCGCGGUAAGUCGGGUGUGAAAUCUCGGGGCUUAACUCCGAAACUGCAUUCGAUACUGCCGUGCUUGAGGACUGGAGAGGAGACUGGAAUUUACGGUGUAGCAGUGAAAUGCGUAGAGAUCGUAAGGAAGGCCAGUGGCGAAGGCGAGUUCCUGGACAGUAACUGACGCUGAGGCACGAAGGCCAGGGGAGCAAACGGG
rnacentral:rRNA from 1 species